AUUGAACGCUGGCGGCAUGCCUUACACAUGCAAGUCGAACGGUAACAGGUUAAGCUGACGAGUGGCGAACGGGUGAGUAAUAUAUCGGAACGAGCCCAGUCGUGGGGGAUAACGUAGAGAAAGCUACGCCAAUACCGCAUACGAUCUACGGAUGAAAGCGGGGGAUCGCAAGACCUCGCGCGAUUGGAGCGGCCGAUAUCAGAUUAGGUUGUUGGUGAGGUAAAAGCUCACCAAGCCUGCGAUCUGUAGCUGGUCUGAGAGGACGACCAGCCACACUGGAACUGAGACACGGUCCAGACUCCUACGGGAGGCAGCAGUGGGGAAUUUUGGACAAUGGACGCAAGUCUGAUCCAGCAAUGCCGCGUGCAGGACGAAGGCCUUCGGGUUGUAAACUGCUUUUGUACGGAACGAAACGGUGAGCUUUAAUACAGUUUGCUAAUGACGGUACCGUAAGAAUAAGCACCGGCUAACUACGUGCCAGCAGCCGCGGUAA
rnacentral:rRNA from 1 species